rnacentral:tRNA from 1 species
GGGCGAAUAGCUCAGAUGGCAGAGCGCCUGCUUCACAUGUAGGAGGCCACAGGUUCAAGUCCUGUUUCGCCCA